GGGAGCAUCGCAUAGCGGCAAUUGCGGCGGACUGUAAAUCCGCUCCUUCGGGUUCCGUGGUUCGAGUCCACGUGCUCCCA
rnacentral:tRNA from 1 species